UAACGCUCCUGGCUGGCCAAUUAAAUAAGAAGAGGACGUGUAAAUUAAAAUUAGGUUUUUGAUAGCCAUCCUUCUUCUGAGGCUUCAGAGAACAGUAGAUGGAUCAACCUUAGAGGCAGAUGCAUCUCUCAGGUCCAGCAUCAGGAGCAACACCGGUCCUCUUCUACGGUCUAGACGCUUUCUUCCCUAAUUAAAAGCUACCAGAGCAUACAGACAGGCCUGCGACAAACACCCAGCUUUUAUCAGCCAAAGCAGAUCUGUUUUAUUUGAGCCUUUGAUUUGGUCCAUUUAACAGACUUUAAUAUUUAGAAAAGAAACAGUUCCAGGAAGUAACACUAGAUGCCACUGGAGAGCUGUAAUUGCUGUGCUGUUUGACCCGUUCAGUCUUCGAACUGGUGCGCUUUUAGUUAGAGAGCGCUGAAAUCUAUGAAAAUUAGACCCCCCCUGGCUGCUGUUAUUUUCGGGGGGGACCUCAGUCCUUCAUCUAUGGCUGCUUGACGUGCCUCAGGCCUAUUCGACUGCAACAACGGCAGCACAAACGGACGUGCACAGACAAGACGGUUCGCAUACCAAACAACUUCCCCAAAAAGACGCAGUUUAUUGGAAACGUGUAUAAAUGGGUAUAUAAAUCCGCGCACCUGUGAGCAUUUAAACGGAGGGCAUCCCAUCAAGGAGCAUCCUUGUUCAGAUGUUGACUGGCUUGACUCACACAUGGCUGUGUGGCAGUGAUACUUUGAAUCCACGUGGAAGAGCAGAUGGCCAUAUUAUAUAACAUUAUUGCAUGUAAGCAGAGCUGAAAAGGGGGACGGAGAGAGAUUUCCCAAGCUACCUCGGUUUGAAGGCCUCCAACACAAAGCGUGCUUUUACUCUGUGAUUACUCACAAAUAGUUUUUUUCUGAUGUGAAUGAGCGCGCUCAGAAGCUCAUCGAUGUCUCCAAAAGCAUGAUGAUGCUGUUUUCAUUUGUUGAGCAAGAAAAAUACGAGAGGAUUGUUGUAGUGAUUGAUUGCAGAUAUGGUACAUAUUUGUGUAUAUUAAGGGUCUCAAAAAGAAACCCCCAAAAAGAGAAAAAAAUCACUGAAAUGUUGCAAAUGGAAUAAAAAUACU